rnacentral:rRNA from 1 species
UUGCCUACGGGGCGCAGCAGUGAGGAAUAUUGGUCAAUGGGCGAGAGCCUGAGCCAGCCAAGUCGCGUGAGGGAGUACUGCCCUAUGGGUUGUAAACCUCUUUUGUCGGGGAGCAAAAGCCGGACGUGUCCGUCUGUGAGAGUACCCGAAGAAAAAGCAUCGGCUAACUCCGUGCCAGCAGCCGCGGUAAUACGGAGGAUGCGAGCGUUAUCCGGAUUUAUUGGGUUUAAAGGGUGCGCAGGCGGAUUUUUAAGUCAGCGGUCAAAUCGUGGGGUCCAACCCAAUCCAGCCGUUGACACUGGGGG